rnacentral:rRNA from 1 species
GACGAACGCUGGCGGCGUGCUUAACACAUGCAAGUCGAACGCUGAAGCUCAGCUUGCUGGGUGGAUGAGUGGCGAACGGGUGAGUAACACGUGAGUAACCUGCCCUCUUCUUUGGGAUAACGCCCGGAAACGGGUGCUAAUACUGGAUAUUCACUGAUUCUCGCAUGGGGGUUGGUGGAAAGGUUUUUUCUGGUGGGGGAUGGGCUCGCGGCCUAUCAGCUUGUUGGUGGGGUGAUGGCCUACCAAGGCUUUGACGGGUAGCCGGCCUGAGAGGGUGACCGGUCACAUUGGGACUGAGAUACGGCCCAGACUCCUACGGGAGGCAGCAGUGGGGAAUAUUGCACAAUGGGCGAAAGCCUGAUGCAGCGACGCCGCGUGAGGGAUGGAGGCCUUCGGGUUGUAAACCUCUUUCGCUCAUGGUCAAGCCGCAGCUUUGGGUUGUGGUGAGGGUAGUGGGUAAAGAAGCGCCGGCUAACUACGU